rnacentral:rRNA from 1 species
UACAGAGGGGGCAAGCGUUGUUCGGAAUUACUGGGCGUAAAGGGCGCGUAGGCGGCCUGUUAAGUCGAACGUGAAAUCCCCGGGCUCAACCCGGGAACUGCGUCCGAUACUGGCAGGCUUGAAUCCGGGAGAGGGAUGCGGAAUUCCAGGUGUAGCGGUGAAAUGCGUAGAUAUCGGAAGGAACAUCAGUGGCGAAAGCGGCUUCCUGGACCAGUACCGACGUCAGGCACGAAAGCGUGGGGAGCAAACAGG